rnacentral:rRNA from 1 species
CCUACGGGUGGCUGCAGUGGGGAAUAUUGGGCAAUGGGCGCAAGCCUGACCCAGCAACGCCGCGUGAAUGAAGAAGGCUUUCGGGUUGUAAACUUCUUUUCUCAGGGACGAAGAAAGUGACUGUACCUGAAGAAUAAGCCACCUCUAACUACGUGCCAGCAGCCGCUGUAAUACAUAGGUGGCAAGCGUUAUCCGGAUUGACUGGGUGUAAAGGGCGUGUAGGCGGGAAAGCAAGUCAGAUGUGAAAACCAGGGGCUCAACCUGUGGCCUGCAUUUGAAACUGUUUUUCUUGAGUACUGGAGAGGUAGGCGGAAUUCCUAGUGUAGCGGUGAAAUGCGUAGAUAUUAGGAGGAACACCAGUGGCGAAGGCGGUCUGCUGGACAGCAACUGACGCUGAGGCGCGAAAGCGUGGGGAGCAAACAGGAUUAGAUACCCUUGUAGUC